rnacentral:rRNA from 1 species
ACGCUGGCGGCAUGCUUUACACAUGCAAGUCGGACGGCAGCACAGAGAAGCUUGCUUCUUGGGUGGCGAGUGGCGAACGGGUGAGUAAUAUAUCGGAACGCACCGAGUAAUGGGGGAUAACUAAUCGAAAGAUUAGCUAAUACCGCAUAUUCUCUGAGGAGGAAAGCAGGGGACCUUCGGGCCUUGCGUUAUUCGAGCGGCCGAUAUCUGAUUAGCUAGUUGGUGGGGUGAAGGCCUACCAAGGCGACGAUCAGUAGCGGGUCUGAGAGGAUGAUCCGCCACACUGGGACUGAGACACGGCCCAGACUCCUACGGGAGGCAGCAGUGGGGAAUUUUGGACAAUGGGCGCAAGCCUGAUCCAGCCAUGCCGCGUGUCUGAAGAAGGCCUUCGGGUUGUAAAGGUCUUUUGUCAGGGAAGAAAAGGCUGUCGCUAAUACCGACAGUUGAUGACGGUACCUGAAGAAUAAGCACCGGCUAACUACGUGCCAGCAGCCGCGGUAAUACGUAGGGUGCGAGCGUUAAUCGGAAUUACUGGGCGUAAAGCGAGCGCAGACGGUUACUUAAGCAGGAUGUGAAAUCCCCGGGCUCAACCUGGGAACUGCGUUCUGAACUGGGUGACUAGAGUGUGUCAGAGGGAGGUAGAAUUCCACGUGUAGCAGUGAAAUGCGUAGAGAUGUGGAGGAAUACCGAUGGCGAAGGCAGCCUCCUGGGAUAACACUGACGUUCAUGCUCGAAAGCGUGGGUAGCAAACAGGAUUAGAUACCCUGGUAGUCCACGCCCUAAACGAUGUCAAUUAGCUGUUGGGCAACUUGAUUGCUUAGUAGCGUAGCUAACGCGUGAAAUUGACCGCCUGGGGAGUACGGUCGCAAGAUUAAAACUCAAAGGAAUUGACGGGGACCCGCACAAGCGGUGGAUGAUGUGGAUUAA